UUCACUUAACAACCGACUUUACUAAUUUAUCAAUUGCAGGGAUUCCCUUAACAGCUGAGGCGAGAAAGGUCGUAAAAUGGGACAAAACUCACUUAACAAACGUGUGACUUAACCACGGAGCUUUGGGGCUCAAUUGUGGUCGUAAGCCGAGGACAACCUGUUUAGGGGACACCAUGUCGGAUCUACUCUGCAUCCAGAAAUGAUUAUCUUGAUUAGCCCCAUCAUCAGCUUAGAUGGAAUUCCUAGUCUUUUUUGGUCACCUGGCCCUGCUCCAUCCCUGCUCCACCAAGCUGCCAACUCAGAGAAACUUCAGGGAGUCUUUGACUUAUGACCACAAUUGAGACCAGAAUUCCAGUUGCUAAGCAAGCUCGUUUUUAAUGCAGCCUAAUUAAUUCCUGUUCCAUACACAAAGGGAAAUGCUGGGUGACAAAUGGGUGCGAAGCUUGAAAGCUGCCACGUCGGCAAAACACUUUCUACUUCAAUUUAUAAGCCAUUUUGCAGUAAAUCAUCCGCCAGAAUCGGAGAUCCGCAGGCCGCUGACAGCCAGGCCAUGCUGCGGAGCAAUAACCUACAAGUGAGAUGCAGGAUGAUCCGGCUCCCCAAUUAUCUAAACUCCAAAGUGAUUAGAUGCACUUUAUAAAGAUUCUAGUGACACCAACAGGACUUUUUUUUCUCUGAUUGUAACAUUUUAUGUGUUAAGCGAAUAAAUGAGUAAACACUUGUACCGGUAGUCCUUGGCUUACAACCACA